rnacentral:rRNA from 1 species
GAUGAACGCUGGCGGCGUGCUUAACACAUGCAAGUCGAACGAGAAGUGAAGACGGAAACCUUCGGGCGGAAGGCUUUAUUUCGAGUGGCGGACGGGUGAGUAACGCGUGGGUAACCUGCCUCAUACAGGGGGAUAACAGUUGGAAACGACUGUUAAUACCGCAUAAGACCACAGCACCGCAUGGUGCGGGGGUAAAAACUCCGGUGGUAUGAGAUGGACCCGCGUUCGAUUAGCCAGUUGGCGGGGUAACGGCCCACCAAAGCGACGAUCGAUAGCCGAGCUGAGAGGAAGACCGGCCACAUUGGGACGGAGAAGCGGCCCAAACUCCUACGGGAGGCAGGAGUGGGGAAUAUUGCACAAUGGCGGAAACCCUGAUGGAGCGACGCCGGGUGAGUGAAGAAGUAUUUCGGUAUGUAAAGCUCGAUCAGCAGGGAAGAAAAUGACGGUACCUGAGUAAGAAGCCCCGGCUAACUACGUG